rnacentral:rRNA from 1 species
UACGGAGGAUCCAAGCGUUGUCCGGAUUUACUGGGUUUAAAGGGUGCGUAGGUGGUCUUUUAAGUCAGUGGUGAAAGCCUGUAGCUUAACUAUAGAAUUGCCAUUGAAACUGAAAGUCUUGAGUACAGUUGAGGUGAGCGGAAUGUAUCAUGUAGCGGUGAAAUGCUUAGAUAUGAUACAGAACACCGAUUGCGAAGGCAGCUCACUAAACUGCAACUGACACUGAGGCACGAAAGCGUGGGGAUCAAACAGG